CGCCCAACUUAUCGCAACUUGUGUGCUUACCUGGUUGCCUGCCCACCUUCAUUGUAAAGCCAGUUACCCAUUUCCCUAGCGCGGGUGCUCUUAAUUGUACUGUUAACCGGCCUUGAACUCGAUAUAGGUGUGAAUAAUUCGAUGAACAAUGGUGCAAGUGAGUGGAAAAAGAAUAGCCAAUCGUCACAACAACUCAGCGACCGAAAGACUGCUCUUCUAGUAGCCGUAAUAUUUGCCGUCUAGCCCAAUUUAGUCGCUUGCGGCUUUUAUAAACUCCUGAGUGUCUGAUGAAGCCAUCAGAUCACGAAAUACCUACUAAUACAAACGAUUGCAAUGCACUCACAGCCUCAUUAUGCACACCGCAAUUUAAGUAGACGUAUACAGAUGGACAUAUACGAAUUACUCGAUGCGUGGCGACGUUGUUAGAGAAUGAACUUUGUCAUGCUAUUUCGUUUCCGCUGCUGCUGCUGCUGCUGCUGUGCGAGUCAUUGUUGAAUCCUUUGCUCGUCGUUGUACGACGGCGCUGCCAAGGUGUCAUCCGCUAACGUCAAGCUGUCAACAGGAGUCGCACGACAAUUUCCAGCAAUGCCGCUUCGGCCGCCAUUACACACAAUGCCAUACAGGAACAUAGGGGGGCGAGCACAGGACGAGAAUGAGAGAAGGACUAGCCAUCUCGCAGAGUUGAAAACUUUCCGUAAGCAGAUGUCGCGUCCUCGUAGCAUGCUUCGGUACCUCCUACAGUUACUGCUGUUACUUCUGCCCAUAUGGUACAGCUGUGCGUGCGAGUCACGUAACGCAAUUCUGCUGCUCAAAACCGUUCAUAAUCGCUGUCCCAUAUGUACUAGUUGUUUCCGCAUUUCGCUGCUGCUAAACACAAACUGCAAAGGACCAAAGAGAAAAUGUGCGAAAGCAACUGCAAAUGUGAGUGACGGCCAACCUAUGGCGAACGCCGUCCGGCGAUAUCGGACUUCAGUGAGCAAGGCUGGAUAAGCUUCUUGAUCUGGUCCAUUCAUCCCAAAAUCAUUCGAGUCGAUACUGUUGUGCUUAAACUUUGAAGACAAGCCCAAUAUUUGAAGCGUGAAAUCAUAAACUCCGUUACGGCUACACUUUAUUGUGGACGGCAUCGUCAUCUUCAAACGAUCAUCGGAAAAAAUUUAAACGUAAAAAAAUUUGCAGAGGUGCGGCUCUUUGCGGCUCUGACAAGAACAACUUCAUAUCAUAGGGAAUGCCCCUAGCAAUACUUCAAAAAGCCUCAAGCGCCCAAUCUGCAUCUUUGCUGAUGCAAACGUUCGACGUAUUUAUGUGGCGUACAAUGUCAACUAAUGUUGUCUAUCUAACUUUCUCGACGUGUUAUCGUCGGAUGCGUAAUUUACGCACGGUCAGAAGUGGUGGACAGACGGUUAUGCUCAGUCAAUCUAUGGUGACGAGGACCGAUGUGCACAUUUUAUCAUUAAGGAGGACAAGGAAGUGUUCAUCGUGGCAGCUCAAUGGA